UUUCGCAAUGCCCGAAAGGGUGACGAAGCGACGCCGCGUGUGGGAAGAAGGCCUUCGGGUUGUAAACCACUGUCGGGAGUUAAGAAAUGUAAGGGUGUUAAUAGCAUCCUUGCUUGACUAAGGCUCCGGAGGAAGCCACGGCUAACUCUGUGCCAGCAGCCGCGGUAAUACAGAGGCGGCAAGCGUUGUUCGGAAUUAUUGGGCGUAAAGAGCACGUAGGCGGCUUUGUAAGUCAGUUGUGAAAGCCUUCUGCUUAACGGAAGAACAGCAUCUAAUACUGCAAGGCUAGAGUACGGAAGGGGAGAGUGGAACUUCUGGUGGAGCGGUGAAAUGCGUAGAUAUCAGAAGGAACGCCGGCGGCGAAAGCGGCUCUCUGGCCCAUAACUGACGCUGAGUGUGCGAAAGCUAGGGGAGCAAACGGGAUUAGAUACCCCGGUAGUCCUAGCCGUAAACGAUGGGCACUAAGUAGAGGGGUUUUA
rnacentral:rRNA from 1 species